rnacentral:rRNA from 1 species
CCUACGGGGAGCAGCAGUAAGGGAUAUUGGGCAAUGGGGGAAACCCUGAACCAGCAACGCCGCGUGAGGGAAGACGGUGUUCGGAGUGGAAACCUCUGUCCGCGGGGAAGAGGAUGACGGUAGCAGAGGAGGAAGCUCCGGCUAACGACGGGCCAGCAGCCGCGGUAAUACGUAGGGAGCGAGCGUUGUCCGGAUUUACUGGGUGUAAAGGGGGCGUAGGCGUCUUGGCAAGUCAGUAGUGAAAUCCAGGGGCUUAACCCAUGAACUGCUAUUGAAACUGUCGAGCUUGAGUGAAGUAGAGGUCGGCGGAAUUCCCGGUGUAGCGGUUCAAUGCGUA